GAUGAACGCUAGCGGCAGGCCUAACACAUGCAAGUCGAGGGGCAGCGAGAUCAAAGCUUGCUUUGAUUGUCGGCGACCGGCGCACGGGUGCGUAACGCGUAUACAACCUACCCAAAACAGGGGGAUAACACUGAGAAAUUGGUACUAAUACCCCAUAACAACAGAGAAGGCAUCUUCUUUGUUUGAAAACUCCGGUGGUUUUGGAUGGGCAUGCGUUGUAUUAGCUAGUUGGUGAGGUAACGGCUCACCAAGGCGACGAUACAUAGGGGGACUGAGAGGUUAACCCCCCACAUUGGUACUGAGACACGGACCAAACUCCUACGGGAGGCAGCAGUGAGGAAUAUUGGUCAAUGGACGCAAGUCUGAACCAGCCAUGCCGCGUGCAGGAUGACGGCUCUAUGAGUUGUAAACUGCUUUUGUAUGAGGGUAAACUCAUCUACGUGUAGGUGACUGAAAGUAUCAUACAAAUAAGGAUCGGCUAACUCCGUGCCAGCAGCCGCGGAAUACGGAGGAUUCAAGCGUUAUCCGGAAUUAUUGGGUUUAAAGGGUGCGUAGGCGGUUUGAUAAGUUAGAGGUGAAAUAUUAGGGCUUAACCCUGAAACUGCCUCUGAUACUGUCGAGCUAGAGAGUAGUUUGCCGUAGGCGGAAUGUAUGGUGUAGCGGUGAAAUGCUUAGAGAUCAUACAGAACACCGAUUGCGAAGGCAGCUUACCAAACUAUAUCUGACGUUGAGGCACGAAAGCGUGGGUAGCAAACAGGAUUAGAUACCCUGGUAGUCCACGCAGUAAACGAUGAUAACUCGCUGUCGGCGAUACACAGUCGGUGGCCAAGCGAAAGCGAUAAGUUAUCCACCUGGGGAGUACGUUCGCAAGAAUGAAACUCAAAGGAAUUGACGGGGGCCCGCACAAGCGGAGGAACAUGUGGUUUAAUUCGAUGAUACGCGAGGAACCUUACCCGGGCUUGAAAGUUACUGACGAUUCUGGAAACAGGAUUUCCCUUCGGGGCAGGAAACUAGGUGCUGCAUGGUUGUCGUCAGCUCGUGCCGUGAGGUGUCGGGUUAAGUCCCAUAACGAGCGCAACCCCUACCGUUAGUUGCCAUCAGGUCAAGCUGGGCACUCUGGCGGGACUGCCGGUGUAAGCCGAGAGGAAGGUGGGGAUGACGUCAAAUCAGCACGGCCCUUACGUCCGGGGCUACACACGUGUUACAAUGGUAGGUACAGAGGGCAGCUACCCAGCGAUGGGGUGCAAAUCUCGAAAACCUAUCUCAGUUCGGAUUGAAGGCUGAAACUCGCCUCCAUGAAGUUGGAUUCGCUAGUAAUCGCGCAUCAGCCAUGGCGCGGUGAAUACGUUCCCGGGCCU
rnacentral:rRNA from 1 species